UACCCAUCCCGAACACGACCGUUAAGCCCUCCAGCGCCGAUGGUACUUGGACCGCAGGGUCCUGGGAGAGUAGGACGUUGCCAAGC
rnacentral:rRNA from 2 species